UACGGAGGGUGCAAGCGUUAUCCGGAUUUACUGGGUUUAAAGGGUGUGUAGGCGGGCAUUUAAGUCUGGGGUGAAAUCUCCGAGCUCAACUCGGAAACUGCCUUGGAUACUAUUUGUCUUGAAUUAUGUUGAGGUUGGCGGAAUAUAACAUGUAGCGGUGAAAUGCAUAGAUAUGUUAUAGAACACCGAUUGCGAAGGCAGCUAACUAAGCAUAUAUUGACGCUGAGGCACGGAAAAGCGUGGGGGAU
rnacentral:rRNA from 1 species